rnacentral:tRNA from 2 species
GGGCCGGUAGCUCAGAACGGUAGAGCAGCAGGCUCUUAACCUGCCAGUCGGGGGUUCAAAUCCCUCCCGGCCCG